rnacentral:lncRNA from 1 species
UUCCUUCCUUCUCUUCCCUCAAACACACACCACAUACACACACACGCACGCGCACACACACACACCAGGCACACAUAUAACAACAGGCACACACUUUGAGAAUCAAGAAGAGCAAAUAAAUUCAGCCUGAAUUGAGUUUGUUAGGGUCUACCUAGUUUGGUAUGUGGGAUAAAAAUAUUGCCUCCCUAACGCAUUUAAAUUGAAUCUAUGUAAAAAUAAGGUUGCUUGAAAAAAUUUGAGGAUUCAAACAGAAAUACACUCUUACCACAUAUGACUAACAUUUUCUGGGUGUUUGACUUACCCAUGCAUUCCUAAUAACAAACUUCUUACUCAUUUUAACAAUAAAUGCACUCUCUAUCAAGGGGAAAGUUGUGUGGUUACUAAUCUCACUUUAGCUGUAGCUGGCAGCUAGAUUGGUGAAGUCCUCCUGUCCUGCCAAGCUAAUCCUCUUCUGGAUGUCCAGGGUGAUCUCUGAUGAAAUCUUUAUGUAUUCUCUCUGACAGCCUUUGUUAUCUGUGCAUUUAUGACUUACCCUUUUUUUUAAAUAUCACCUUCUCUUUCCUCUGUUUAUUCCUUUCCUCCUAUUUUUUAGUCCUCUAUUCCUACUCUGUGUGUUCUUAUUUAUAUUUUUAUGCUUAAGAAAUAUUUCUUUCAAAGAAGUUGAAAAACUUUAAAACUAUGUAUAUAAGGGUAUAUAUAAUGUGUAUAUAUACAGUUUAAG